rnacentral:lncRNA from 1 species
CGCAACUCAGUAUCACUGCAGUGCUGGUUGUGCUUCAAUUCAAACUGCUUAUGAACAACCAAUCAAAUGAAGCACAACAUUCCAAUAGUGACAGCCUGCUUGCUUGUAUCUUUGUAACUUAACCUAUGAUAUGGAGGGACAUACAUAUAUAGCAGCAAAUAUUGGUAGGUAGUGCUUUUCACUCUUCAAGCACAAUUGAGAACGCAUCAUCCAAUAUAGGCUCUAAAGUUAUAAGGUACAGCAAGAUAUUUGACGACAUCAUUUUGGCUAAUGAUGUCGACUCACUUCUCAGUUUCGUUAUGGCAAGUGACAAGAUCAUGGAAUGAAAGAUUGUUCUAGAGAUUGACAAACUGACUUAUUAUGGACAUGGAUGAAAGAGCACAAAAGGCAGAUUAUACACAAAAGAGAAAACUGAUGCAAAUGAAACUAAGCAGGUUAAGAAUGUACCUAUUCCAAAUGGUGAACCUCAAAAACCAUUAGCAUGUAGCCAAGUCUCUAACAAUAAGACUCUAGGUCAUGAAAGUGAAGUUAAUUUAGGAGGAGGUUUUAGGGAUCUUUCAAAACUUCCAACGCUGUUUCAGAGGUUAUAUUGGAGGGUUACAACGGUUGAGUAUUAGUUGAUUCUGCUACAAGUUUGCAAAUAAGGUUCAUGUAGCAGUGUGUGUGGCAGAAAUUCUCCCGAAGUUAGGAUACUCAACUGAUAAAGAUCUUAAAGAUGGGAGUCUGUU